UAUAAGUCGAAAUUGGCUGUUGCGCUCUACACAUUAGGUGAGUACAGUGUUUAUUAAGGAAACCUAACCUCUGUAAGCAGUUAAAAGUAUAAAGUGGACUUUGAUUGUGACGUUGGCCAUCUCUACCUAGGACUCGGGAUAGAUGGCCACCAAACGGAAGGGAUAGAUUACCACUUAUUUUUCUUUCGUUUCCCUACAGUUUAACUCAUUUCCGAUUAAGUAAUUGCAAAAACAAUGCCGACGGAGUAUAAAAGACUCUAUUCAAAUCGUGGAAAUUAUACUGAAGAAAAUCUUAGGCUGGCAUUUGAAGCUGUGAAAAACAGUUCUUCUGUAAACGGUGCUUAAAAAAAUUAUGGCAUUCCUAGGAAAACCCUUGAAAGGAAAAUAAAGAAAAAUGUAUCUACGACUGGGAAAAUGGGACCUGACAGCAUGUUGAGGGAGGCCAAUGAAAAUAAAUUAGUGCUACACAUUAAAAAGGCACAAAAAUACGGUUUUCCUAUGACGGUAUCGGAUGUUUUUAAUAAAAUUAUUAAGAUGAUUUAAAUUCAAAAUCAAUCGAUUAGAUCCAUCUGGCUUAGGUACAAGAAAAUUGUAUAUACUGAUAGCCCUCCUAAGCAACAAAUCUUGGAUUAUAUUAUUUAGGAUUCUUUUUGUGACCAUUUUGGUUCUACAGGUACACCACGUUGACUUGGUUUAGUAUGAAAGGGAAUAUAAAAUCCAUUAAUAUAGGACACUAUCCUAUUGUCAAUAAAUAACUCACUCCCAUCUAAAGCAAACUGUUUGAGUCUUCCACAAGGACUACUAACCUCUAAUGAUCCCUCUGUCCUUGUUUGGAUUGGAAAUGUUUGUAACGUUCCUGCCUCUUCAGGUGAGUGUAAGCUGGUGCUUCUGCAACAACGGACGUUUUUCGUUUCCUUGUUUCGAAGGUAAUGACGGUCCAGAGAAUAUACGCUUCUUAGGUACCUAUAUUUGAUUUGCAGAUUUUUCCAAAUCUUUUACGGUCUUUAUGUCCAAAUCCAAAUAACCACUCGGUUAUGGAAGUAUUUUUAAGGUAUUCCGUAAAUCCUUAUUUAAAUUGAGUGCGAUCAGGUUCCUCCGCGAUAUGGAAUCGGUAUGGUAGAUGUCACUCAGCAAACGUCCUACAUCGUUCAAAACUUCAAUGUAUACGAUAUGUGUUCUCCGCUUCCUUCCUUAAUUAAAUUUGUGACAACACCAGAAAUCGCAGCACUUAACUGCGGUUGAAGUUGACUCAAUCGUAUGUCUCUCCGAAAUGUUCCGUCUUGCACCGCAACUUUUACCUCCGGGUUAAUUUUUGGAGGUAACAAAUCCGGGCAGUUUUUCGGUGGAAGAUACUUUUUGAUUAGAUUUGUUUUAUGUCUUCCGACAACCCUAAUUUUAACAAUUUUGUCCAGCCAAGUCCGGAUGGAAUGAAUCGGAAAAUCUUUUUUUCAUAAUGUCAUCUUCACCUAACAGAGUUAAAAUAGCUGGCGGAAGCACGUCCUCAGACUCGUCUUCACGAAGCUCCUGAAUUGUUUCAUCUGCAACGCCAGAUAAUUAUAAGCAACAAAUCAAAACCCCCGGCCUUACACAAGCAAAAACUAUAAAGCUUGUAAUGGGCAAGACCGUAUUAGAUUAUAAAAACCAAUAUAACAAAGACAUAACUGAAUUUACAGUCGGUCUUCUAGGGUAAGGACCCCAUUAGUGUCACCCUAGGCACAAGAACUCCAGCACACUAGGUUCACCUCACUCGGCGAACAACUGUACGUACUCACCGACAGCUAAAAGAAGGCAAUACAGCCAACAAGUGCCACACUAGGCACGUUCACCUCACUCGGCGAACAAACUGUACUCGAUGACAGUUAAAGGAAGGCAAUAAAGACAAUAAGUGCCACAGCAAGCACGUUCACCUCUCUCGGCGAAGUAACUGUUCUCACUGACAGUUGUAAAAAGAAAACGCAUUCCAACUUUCUACCCCGGCUGAGCAGUCCAACAAAUCUGUAUCUGCUACAUCCUCAUUAACACCAGAAGGGCCAGGCGAAGAUAAGCGUGACAAUCUUUCACGUACUCUUGACGGCGAAAAAGGUGACCGGCUACAUUCGCUACCAAAAGGAUACGGAGACGGUGAUUUCCACCGGCAUCUUAUUUGUUUUUUCUCAACCUUUUCUACUCACGAAAUCGAAAUUUGGGACGUGGUCCCUUUCGAAUUGUGGAUCGACCGGGCCGCAGAUACCCCCAAGACGGUCAUCGUGAAAAAUUUUGAAGGAACACCCCUAUUUGUGACAACGGUUCCCCCCACCGGCCCGCCUAUCAUAACAUCAUUUGGGCCGAUCACAUUCACCAUGCGUGAAACCAAUAAUACACUGGAAUUUUUUUUCAUAAAUACUUUUGAAUAAAAACUUUCCGAUUUCUAUUACAUUUUAUUGCCUUUUA